rnacentral:pre_miRNA from 1 species
AAUAAGUGCAGCCGUGGAUAUUCGUACCCAACGUUUGACCGUCCGUCUUAUUUAAAAAAUUUGUGAAAAAUUUAAAAAUAUUUAAUCACACAUAAAGUACUAUUCAUGUUUUAUCAUCUAAUAAAUUUUAAAUAAGAUAAACGGUCAAACGUUGAACGUGAAUAGUGCAAAACUGUAUUUAUU